rnacentral:lncRNA from 1 species
UAGGAAGGGCAUCAAAUUCAUCUAAGUGGUACACUCAACCUUGUGCUAUGGGCCGACCUACAUCCUUUAGUCGCUGAGGAUAGUCCUUAAUAAGGUGUUGGGUGUUUCUGCACCGAUAGCAAGCAUUAUUAAUACGCCGACAGGGCAAGUCACCAUGUGAGUGACCACAAUGCUAACAGGGUUGGUUAGCUCAAGUAGAUUAAGCUGUGACAUCCCAAGUGGUAAUUAAGGCAAAUGGGUGUUAGAU